rnacentral:lncRNA from 1 species
UUCUGAGAGAUAGUACAGUUAUAUUCUGUAUAUUAAUAUAUAAAAAUCAACUUUUGUAAAAACGCAAAUCCUAAAUUUCUCUUUGGAAAAACAUCUCUGACCUCUCUCUAGAUCUCCACCGUCACCCUCCUUCCUUCCAAUCCAGCCUAUAUCCGCCGCGAUGUAGAUUCAAUCGUUGGUGAUGCGAUGAUUGGCUUAAGCCGUCCGCAUCACUCGGCCACUGGUUUCUCUCAGUGGUUGUUUUCUCCAUCGCUCGCGUUCAUGGUGGUGUUAGUUUGCUACGUUUUUUUUGGUGGUUUGUGAUGGUUUUCGGAGGGAUUUUGUGGUGGUGGUACUGCUAGUUUUUUGUUUGCCUUUCAUUGGUUUAGGGAGUGCAUGAUGGUCUUAAUUUGUCAUGUUUGUGUUCUGUUGGUGUAUUCAAUGUGUAAAGCUUAUUUAAUGGUUGUUCAAUUUGAUGCUGCUAUGGUUUUUGACAUACCGCUUCUGCAUAAUUUUAGGUGUGGGUUAGUGUUGAGUUUAAGCCAUAUUACUUGAAUGUGGUUGUAGGCAUGGACUUACGAAAUUAGAGGUCUAAGGGAAAACAUGUUAGGUGGAGCAAUGUGUGGCAGAGGGUCUUGUUAUGUGUAGGUUACCUUUUGUUUUGGCACUUUUGGUUGCUAGCACUCUUUUAGUACCUAUGAUGUUGUAUUAUGGGGAAGGUAGUGUCUUGUUACUUAUAAGUGUUAAGAUUAAUUUUUAUUUUAUUUUUAUGUGGCGGUGAGUUUUGUUUGUGGUGAUGAUGUUGAGAAGCUCGUACGUUGUUUUUUUGUUAUGUUGGAUUGUGGUGUUUCGUGGUGGUUUUCAUGGUGGUGCUGAUACUUGGUCUUUUGUGGUGGUGCUCGUGGUGGUUUUUGGUGGUGAUGCUCGUGGUGGCUGAUGUUGUUUUUUGGUGGUGAUGCUCGUGGUGGCUGGUGCUGGUUUUUGGUUUUCUUCUAUGAGUUUGUUGUUGAUGAGGUUUUCAAAUACAUGGAUGUUAGACGGUGUGGCUUGUUUAAGGCGUUUAGACUUUGGUUUUUGGUGAUGACUUCUUGGUUUGGUGUUUAGUUUUUAUUGCUUUCGAGGGCCCUCAGUGGAGGGUGUUUUUGAUUUGUUUGUAGAAGUUUGCAUUUGUACAUGGGUGUUCCGCAUAUAUAAGGCACACUUUUCCUUUGUAUGUUGCUUUUUAAGUCUCCUAGCCUAGCAUUUCUUGUGCAUGCUAUGAUUCUUAGUGUUUUAAAUAAAUUUCAUUUUAGCUUCUUCAAAAAAAAUAUUCUGUAUUUGACCCUUGGAAAAGUAUCAUUUAAUUGCCCCUUGUUCUACACCCGAGUAUUU